CUUAGACACCCAGACCUCGGUAACUUGGCCCCAUGGAGAUGACAACUGCAUUGCCCAGAGAAUGGUGGAACACUUUGAAGGUGCUCUGAUAGGCCAGAAACUCAUCCCCACAAGAAUUGGACGAGAGAGUUCACAAAACUGGGGCUACAUUCAAUUAUGUUGCCAACCUGGAGAAGAUCCUGACAUGGGAGAUCACCUUGUGGAACAUCACUGGCGAGGACAUCUUCAACAGCGAAAAAUAUGAGAUCUGGUGAGGAAAAAACAGUCCAGUUGCCUAUUGAAAAAACACCUUUGAGACAACUAUGAUCUGGAUGACUAAGAAUCUCUACAGAUAUAACAAAUGUGUGAUGUUGGAUAUUUUCUCAAGAGUUUGGGGUCAUAAAGACACAUACCACUGGAUCAUACUCCCAAAGCUGAUUGCCUUUUA